UGGAUUUAUACGUUAACGUGAUCA
rnacentral:siRNA from 1 species